UGAGCCGGCCGGGUGGCCGCGGCGUCGCUCGACGGCGUCGAGGAAGGUCGGGGCUCCGCAGGGCAGGGUGCUGGCUAACGGCCAGUCGGGGUGACCCGCAGGAAAGUGCCACAGAGAACAGACCGCCGAUGGCUCGAGCGAGCACAGGCAAGGGUGAAACGGUGCGGUAAGAGCGCACCAGCGCCCGGGGCGACCCGGGCGGCUCGGCAAACCCCACCCGGAGCAAGGCCAAGCGUGGGAGGAGCGGCCCGCUCGAUCUCCCCAGGUAGGCCGCGUAGAUGGAUGGCCACCCCGGUGCUCCGGCACCGGACAGAACCCCGCCUACAGGCCGGCUCACCGU
rnacentral:RNase_P_RNA from 1 species